GUAGGUGGCAAGCGUUGUCCGGAAUUAUUGGGCGUAAAGCGCGCGCAGGCGGUCCUUUAAGUCUGAUGUGAAAGCCCACGGCUCAACCGUGGAGGGUCAUUGGAAACUGGGGGACUUGAGUACAGAAGAGGAAAGCGGAAUUCCAAGUGUAGCGGUGAAAUGCGUAGAGAUUUGGAGGAACACCAGUGGCGAAGGCGGCUUUCUGGUCUGUAACUGACGCUGAGGCGCGAAAGCGUGGGGAGCAAACAGGGAUUAGAUACCCUGGUAGUCCACGCCGUAAACGAUGAGUGCUAAGUGUUAGGGGGGGUUUCCCGCCCCUUAGUGCUGCAGCUAACGCAUUAAGCACUCCGCCUGGGGAGUACGGCCGCAAGGCUG
rnacentral:rRNA from 1 species